rnacentral:rRNA from 1 species
CUGGUCCUACGGGAGGCAGCAGUGAGGAAUAUUGGUCAAUGGGAGAGAUCCUGAACCAGCCAAGCCGCGUGAGGGAAGACGGCCCUAUGGGUUGUAAACCUCUUUUGUCGGAGAACAAAACCCGGGACGUGUCCCGGACUGCGUGUAUCCGAAGAAAAAGCAUCGGCUAACUCCGUGCCAGCAGCCGCGGUAAUACGGAGGAUGCGAGCGUUAUCCGGAUUUAUUGGGUUUAAAGGGUGCGUAGGCGGUCCGUUAAGUCAGCGGUAAAAAUGCGGAGCUCAACUCCGUCGAGCCGUUGAAACUGU